UGAACUCUGGGUCCUGCCCACACUGU
rnacentral:misc_RNA from 1 species